ACAAAACAAAAAAAUCACAGCAGAGGAUGUCAGCAACAUGGUGGAGUGACUGUUCCCUUUUUUUUCCCCUCCUUUUGAGCUGCAGCUAAAUGGGCAUUCAUUGACCAACGGAGGAAGCCCACACAGCACAAUAGGAUGCCUGAGAGAUGCACGCAGCUAUACCUCUGAGGAUGGAUGGAUUGGCACCCCCAGGAAGUGGCGGAGAUAGACAUUGGCCCGUGCACUUCUGUUUUAAGCAAAAGUAAGAUUUAUUGGAAAGAUGCUGGAGUUGAUCAUGGAAUCGCAGAGGACUGAGAGAUCAAUCCUCGGACAGUGCAGUAGCAGCAGCUGUUCUCUCAUAGACUCUUUUUCCUCAUACAGAAAGGCUGGCUGCCAGCAGCUUCCACAACCACACCCUCUAGCUCAGUUCCUAGGAGAGAGCACUCCCCUUCUUGCCAUCUCCAGCCAGGAAAAACUCAUGGAUGGACUCUGCCUGGUUUAGCUUAACUCACAAGUCCAUCUGCAGACCCGUUACCCGGUCUUGAGACAGAGGCACUAUGAUCCCACGUUGUGAAUUGUAAAAUGUAACCAUUAGGAAGUAGACUUCAAAUGCUCGUAUCAUAUUAUAAUACUAUGCAUAUUUGUGUUUAUAGAAGGAAACACAUUUGAAAUAUAGAGAAGCAGAACAGUGUGUUUUCUCAUCAGUUCUUCUUUGGGCAAAAUAAGCAUAAUCUGACUAAAUCUGCAUUUCUAACCUGCGCUGUCACCUUGCUCUUACACCUUAACAAGCAAACUAUAUGAGAAGAAUGAUCAGCAAUAGAAGCAAGAUGAUUUUCUUUUGGUCCAAAACUUUGUACCUGGUGAUAUUCUAUGCCAUGAAAAGAAUCAUGCUUAAUAAUUCAUUUGUCAGCUGUGUUAGGCACUGUGGAAGAUUCCAAACAGCAUGAAAUCUAACCUCUGCCUUCAGAGAGCUUAACAGUUUUCUGUGGCAGGGAAAUUAGAGUACAUCUGUGAAAACAUAUUAGUAUAGGACAGAACAGAAAAUUUCUUAGACUCUAACAAAUGUUUUAAUUCCAGGUGUACUCAGGAAGAUAGUAGCAUUUUUGGAUGUCUACUAUGAAGAGAAAAGUAUGUACUGAGAUGGGUUUUAUAGGCAGUAAACAUUACAGUCCUUGUCUUCAAGACAUUUGAAACAUACAACAUGCUCACAUUAGCUAAAUAUGCUUACUUCAAAUGCCUAUACUUAUGUCACAUGACUGUGAAGUUAUCAACCUGGUUUCAAAAGCCAUACACAAAAAUCAAAUCAGGUAAUGUGUGUAAAAGUUCAUUGUUAACUGUAGUACCAUACAAACUGAGGUGAUAUUACCGUGAUCAUAUCUUCCAUUUUAUUGUUCAUGAUGGAAGCUGGCCUACUUGUGGAGAAGAAUGGGCCCAUUAUUCCUGUUUGGGAAAAUAAAUGGAAUAAUAAAGAAGACUCAAAACCAAAUGAAAUGCCAUUCCAUACACAUUUUGAAAAAGUUUAUAGAGUAAUUUAAGCAUGAAGAGCUAUUCUAAGCAUAAUAAUAAACUGUAAAGAAUAUUGUUUCCUUUCCAAGAUUCACUUUUCCAAGAUGGCUCAAAUGUGAAAGUCUCUUUUGGAGUUUAUGUAUAGUUCUUUAAAUUGGCACAUUUGGCCUAAAGCAAGAGGAAAAACUGAGUACAAUGUACCAUUUUGUCAAGCAGGGCAGAGCCUUGAAUGGAGGAUUAAGUGGGUAGGGCUCCAUGGAAGAAAUAGGACAUAUUCUUUGCUAUUCAGAGAUAUCCUAUGGGUUGAUGAAAUUAUAUUUACUUUAACAAGCCUUGCUUAAUACUGCACGUUCACAAUUACCUUCCACUUGUACAGCAUGUUGCUCAGGAAGAAAUCUAUUCCUAUCCUUAAUGUUCCAGUCUCUCUUUCCUUGUUUUAACUAUAUUCUAAAUAAUUUAUAAAUAUUUUGUUGCUGGUGAAUUGUUUUCUUUUUCGGCCCUUCAGUAUAGGCAUAGCUUAAUACUGGCUAUAUUUCCAUUUGCCUUUUUUCUUUGUUUCUCAUUGGUCCAUAUCAGACCUAAGCUUCAAUUUUCUUUUCCUUCAGCCACAGAUAUCCUAGUGUAUAAUAUUUCCUUCUGGAUUCUAUCAAAUGUAACCCUACUUAAUCACACCUUCAUCUUGGUCAUUACCCCAGGCCACCAUACUCUAUAUCAGUUUUAUGAGUAUUUUCUGGUCUGAAGGGCAUUUGUUUUACUCAGGCACAGGAGAUUCUGUCUUCUAUGAAUGUUAUGAGUUUUAACAUGAUGUAGAAACCGUGAUGCUAACUGACAUUACACAGAACUUUACAGGUUACUCAGCCUCUCACAGACAGGCGUUUAUUUGGUCCUUUCAAACUCUUGGGGUGGGAUUUAUCAUCUCCAAUUUCCUCAUGAGGAAAUGGAAGUUCAGUGAGAGAUUGUGCACAGGCCUAUGGUAGCUGGUAAACGGUAGAAUUGGGGCUGAGAUUGGGUUUCCUCACUCCAUGCCCAUUGCGCUUUCCAUCGUAUUACAAGCCAUUCUGCUUAGGAGGGAUUUAGGGCUUAUAUAGCAAAUAAUAUUUUUCAGGGAAUCUGUUUACAACAACAAAAAAUUUUUCUCUCCAAAAUGUUCAUGCCUGGCCUGGAUAAACAUGAGCUCCCACUGCCCACCAUUGCCUCUAGGAUUUACUUUAUAGCUUUGUUUCAAAUACAAACUGAGUUUUCAUUAUUCUUCCUUACAGUUAAUCUCUUUACACACUGCCCUAGGAAUCACUUUUAAAAUUGACAGGAGUUUAGCUGGAGUCUCUCUUCUGUGAUGGGAAUUCCAUUCCCAAAGAACUAGAGCAAUAUUUCUUAAUUGAAUAUUUACUGUAAUGAUCAAGAAGGAGUCAGUUGGUCCUGUUUGCUUUAUUUUCAUUGUAAGCUAAAGAUUUGGAUGGUAUUUCCAUGAUUUAUUGAGAACUGCACCAAGAUUCUCAGUAUUCAAUAAACAUAGUUAAGAAGUAGAGGAAAGACAUAUAUUUUUCAUCAUACACACAACUCUAAAUGUUUAGGCCAAAGGCACAUAUUUUUAGGACCUUACAAAAGUAGAUACAUUUUUAAUGGGUUCAAGUAACAAAUAUAAAUUCUAUCUCUCUAUUACCUGAAUAUCUUAACUGUUUGGAGGUUUUAUUAUCGGAAACUGCCAAAUAACAUGCAUAUAUCAUUUUAGUUGAAACUUAAGCCUGGCAGUUUUAUUGAGAAAAAUGGAUUUUAAGUUAUUUUUCAUACAUAAAGGUUGCUAAGCCUAUGCUUAAUUGGUGAAGAUAUGGAUGACCUUAUCUCCAUGCUUCAAGGAAAAAAUAAAACCUCACUAUCUUAUAUCCUCGAGAUUUGGCAAAAGAUGAUCAAUUAACUGUCUAAAAAUCUGUAAUAAAAUGACUGUAGGGAGUAAAACAAACUGAAUUGUGUCCAAUUCAGCUCAUUAAAAUAUGUAUGACCCUGUGCCAGAGAUGUCUGUGGCAAUCCAGCCUUUGAUUCUAUUUAUGGAGAUGUUACCCUCGUGUGGCUCCAGUCCCUGUGCAGAAACAUAAUGUGGUCAUAUCUUUUGUGGUUCCUAAUUCAUGUGAGAUUAGUCGUUCAUAUUCUUAAGUCAUCUCUGAAGAUAAAAGUCAGAGUUCAAAAUCUAUGUUUUGAUGAAGCAAGGAUGGAGACAUAAUCAUGAUAAAAUUGAACAUAUUAUCCUAGGAUCAUGAUUUAAAAGAUUUGAGAACUCUUCCUGACACCAGUGGGUUCAUUGGUAUCUCUUGUCGUCAUAGGAGACUUUGUACAGAUCCAGAAAG
rnacentral:lncRNA from 1 species